UACAGGGGGUGCAAACGUUGCUCGGAAUCAUUGGGCGUAAAGCGCACGUAGGCGGUCUGUUAUGUCGGAUGUGAAAGCCCUUGGCUCAACUGAGGAAGUGCAUCCGAAACUGGCAGGCUAGAGUACUAAAGAGGAUCGCGGAAUUCCCGGUGUAGAGGUGAAAUUCGUAGAUAUCGGGAGGAACACCGGUGGCGAAGGCGGCGAUCUGGGUAGAUACUGACGCUGAGGUGGCGAAAGCGUGGGGAGCAAACAGG
rnacentral:rRNA from 1 species